AAACAUCGCCUCUUGCAAAACGAACGAAUAAGAGGUCCCGCCUGCCCUGUGACUAUAUGUUUAACGGCCGCGGUAUUUUGACCGUGCGAAGGUAGCGCAAUCACUUGUCUUUUAAAUGGAGACCUGUAUGAAAGGCACCACGAGGGCUUAGCUGUCUCCCCUUUAAGGUCAGUGAAAUUGAUCUCCCCGUGCAGAAGCGGGGAUACGCUCGUAAGACGAGAAGACCCUAUGGAGCUUAAGAUAUAAGGCGACCCAAGUCAAGCACCCCGCCAAGGAAACAGAACAAUAUGGACCCCGCUGAAAUAUCUUCGGUUGGGGCGACCGCGGGGAAAGACAAAACCCCCACAUGGACUGGGGCCAUAAUAGCCUCAAAACCUAGACCCACAGGUCAAAGCAACAGUACUUCUGACCACCAAAGAGCCGGCAAAGCCGAUCGACGGACCGAGUU
rnacentral:rRNA from 1 species